rnacentral:rRNA from 1 species
GUCCUACGGGGGGCAGCAGUGGGGGAUAUUGCACAAUGGGGGGAACCCUGAUGCAGCGACGCCGCGUGGGUGAAGAAGCGCCUCGGCGCGUAAAGCCCUGUCAGCAGGGAAGAAAAUGACGGUACCUGAAGAAGAAGCCCCGGCUAACUACGUGCCAGCAGCCGCGGUAAUACGUAGGGGGCAAGCGUUAUCCGGAUUUACUGGGUGUAAAGGGAGCGUAGACGGCGAUGCAAGUCUGAAGUGAAAGGCGGGGGCCCAACCCCCGGACUGCCUUGGAAACUGCAUGGCUGGAGUGCAGGGGAGGG